rnacentral:rRNA from 1 species
GACGAACGCUGGCGGCGUGCUUAACACAUGCAAGUCGAACGGAAAGGCCCUGCUUUUGUGGGGUGCUCGAGUGGCGAACGGGUGAGUAACACGUGAGUAACCUGCCCUUGACUUUGGGAUAACUUCAGGAAACUGGGGCUAAUACCGGAUAGGAGCUCCUGCUGCAUGGUGGGGGUUGGAAAGUUUCGGCGGUUGGGGAUGGACUCGCGGCUUAUCAGCUUGUUGGUGGGGUAGUGGCUUACCAAGGCUUUGACGGGUAGCCGGCCUGAGAGGGUGACCGGCCACAUUGGGACUGAGAUACGGCCCAGACUCCUACCGGAGGCAGCAGUGGGGAAUAUUGCACAAUGGGCGGAAGCCUGAUGCAGCAACGCCGCGUGCGGGAUGACGGCCUUCGGGUUGUAAACCGCUUUCGCCUGUGACGAAGCGUGAGUGACGGUAAUGGGUAAAGAAGCACCGGCUAACUACGUG